GGAUCGCAGUCUCCGUCCCCUGAACUUUGAAGGUGUAGCGUGUGUGUGAUAUUUGAAACUCUAUGAAGAAUUAUUUCUUUCGUAAUGAUAUUUGAUUUCCUGGCUUUCAUGUUCUUUCUCCCAGUUUUUCUCUGAGGUUUUCCAGGGAAAUCUUCUUCGGAGCUGUUUGGUGAGCAAGAAAAUUCCUUCUCUAUUACUGGAAACUUUUCCCAGCUCGCUACAGCUGAAUAUGUCUCUUUAUAUUGAGCUUAGAAAUUUUACAUUCAUUGUUAGAUUUGCCUUGAUUAUUAGAAGCUUGUUUUUAAAGCUUAACUCUCCGCUAUACUGCCGAGAAACACCGUGCCAAUGCCUGCACUAGAGUGAGUCGAGUUGUAGUUUUAGCUUACAUUGGGUAAUGUAUAUAUAUUGUUUCGCUUUACCCCUGCUAUAUCAAAUGUAAUUUGUUGACGUUGAAUCCUACUCGUCUAAUUUUAUCUGGUUUUGCUGGAUACUGUUAUUAUAGGUUGUAGCUACAUUCGCAUCCAAACGGGGUAGAAUGUGGGCAUGGGAGAUUCUUACAAGUCUUGAUUCUUGGAGAAUGAAAGCCAGAGUGCCUAUCCUUAAAAUUUAUGAUUGUUUCAAUCUGAUUUUCUCAAUUGUCACCCACCCACGCUAGCUUCAUGUCUGUGCUUAUUUAACUUGUUCUUUUCAGCAUGGACUGUAGCACAUAGCCUGUAAAAUGUAAUGUCUAAAUAUUGAAAUUGAUUUAUUUCUCGUUUACCUAAAGUUUGGUUGAUUUUAGUGUUAUUUUCUUUCAGAAGUAGUCUGCUACAUAUUUGUGAUGGUAUACACCCUAUUUUGAUUGGGUAAUUAUGCAUUUGAAGUAAUGGAAUUAGUCUUUUUACGAUUAGUUUUGAUUGAUUUCAAUAUUAUUUUCUGUCAGAAGUAGGUUGCUGUGAUGUUAUACACCCAAUUUGAUUGGGAAAUUAGGUGCUUUGAAGCAAUGAAAUUUGUCCUUUACCUUUAGUUUUGCAUGAUUUCAGUGUUAUUUUCUUUCUGAAGUAUUCUGCCACACAUUUAUGAUGGUACACACACAAUUUUGACCUGCUAAAGUAAGCAUUUCAAAUAAUGGAAUUUUGUAAGCUUUUAGUUUUAAUUUUUUUUAUUGUGAUUUUUUUAAUAGUUGCAAAUUUGCACUCAUUAAGAUUCAUUUAAUGCACCCCACUAAUAUGUGAAACUAUAAUUUUAAUAACAAAAAGGAGAACU
rnacentral:misc_RNA from 1 species